rnacentral:SRP_RNA from 1 species
GCCGGGCGCGGUGGCUCACGCCUGUAAUCCCAGCAUUUUGGGAGGCCGAGGUGGGUGGAUCACCUGAGGUCAGGAGUUUGAGACCAGCCUGGCCAACAUGGUGAAACCCCAUCUCUA